rnacentral:rRNA from 1 species
UAGAGUUUGAUCAUGGCUCAGAUUGAACGCUGGCGGCAGGCCUAACACAUGCAAGUCGAGCGGCAGCGACUUAACUGAACCUUCGGGGAACGUUAAGGGCGGCGAGCGGCGGACGGGUGAGUAAUGCCUGGGAAUAUGCCCUGAUGUGGGGGAUAACUAUUGGAAACGAUAGCUAAUACCGCAUAAUCUCUUCGGAGCAAAGAGGGGGACCUUCGGGCCUCUCGCGUCAGGAUUAGCCCAGGUGGGAUUAGCUUGUUGGUGAGGUAAUGGCUCACCAAGGCAACGAUCCCUAGCUGGUCUGAGAGGAUGAUCAGCCACACUGGAACUGAGACACGGUCCAGACUCCUACGGGAGGCAGCAGUGGGGAAUAUUGCACAAUGGGGGGAACCCUGAUGCAGCCAUGCCGCGUGUAUGAAGAAGGCCUUCGGGUUGUAAAGUACUUUCAGUAGGGAGGAAGGCAGUGUCGUUAAUAGCGGCAUUGUUUGACGUUACCUACAGAAGAAGCACCGGCUAACUCCGUGCCAGCAGCCGCGGUAAUACGGAGGGUGCGAGCGUUAAUCGGAAUUACUGGGCGUAAAGCGCAUGCAGGCGGUCUGUUAAGCAAGAUGUGAAAGCCCUGGGCUCAACCUCGGAACAGCAUUUUGAACUGGCAGACUAGAGUCUUGUAGAGGGGGGUAGAAUUUCAGGUGUAGCGGUGAAAUGCGUAGAGAUCUGAAGGAAUACCGGUGGCGAAGGCGGCCCCCUGGACAAAGACUGACGCUCAGAUGCGAAAGCGU